CCCGGGCACUCGUGGAAGGACUGCCAUCGACAAGAUGGAGGAAGGUGGGGAUGACGUCAAGUCAUCAUGGCCCUUAUGUCCAGGGCGACACACGUGCUACAAUGGCCGGCACAACGGGAAGCGAGUUCGCGAGGACGAGCGGAUCCCUUAAGCCGGUCGCAGUUCGGAUUGAAGUCUGCAACUCGACUUCAUGAAGCUGGAAUCGCUAGUAAUCGUGGAUCAGCCAAGCCGCGGUGAAUACCGGUUCCCGGGCCUU
rnacentral:rRNA from 1 species